rnacentral:rRNA from 1 species
GAUGAACGCUGGCGGCGUGCCAAAUACAUGCAAGUCGAGCGAACGGACGAGAAGCUUGCUUCCCUGAUGUUAGCGGCGGACGGGUGAGUAACACGUGGAUACCCCCCUUAUACGACUGGGAUAACUCCGGGAAACCGGAGCUCAUACCGCAUAAUAUUUUGACCCGCAUGGUUCAAAAGUGCAAGACGGUCUUGCUGUCACUUAUCGAUGGAUCCGAGCUGCAUUAGCUAGUUGGUACGGUAACGGCUUACCAAGGCAACGGUGCAUAGCCGACCUGAGAGAGUGGUCCGCCACACUGGAAGGGGGGCACGGUCCCGACUACUACGGGAGGCAGCCGUAGGGAAUGGUCGGCAAUGGGCGAGUGCCUGACGGAGCAACGCCGCGCGGGUGAUGAAGGUCUUCGGAGCGUAAGAUGCUGUUAUUAGGGAAGAAGGUAUCUUUGAGUAUCGCAGCCCUUCUUUCCGGUACCUGGUAAGAAAACCACGGCUAACUACGUG